rnacentral:rRNA from 1 species
GUCUAUGAUCAUGCUACCCUGAACAAGCCCAAUACCAUCUGAUCUCAGAAGCUAAGCAGGGUCAGGCCUGGUUAGCACUUGGAUGGGAGACCACCUAGGUAGACCAGGUACUGUAGGCU